CCUACGGGAGGCAGCAGUGAGGAAUAUUGGUCAAUGGAGGAGACUCUGAACCAGCCAAGUAGCGUGAAGGAUGACUGCCCUAUGGGUUGUAAACUUCUUUUAUAUGGGAAUAAAAUGUUCCACGUGUGGGAUUUUGUAUGUACCAUAUGAAUAAGGAUCGGCUAAUUCCGUGCCAGCAGCCGCGGUAAUACGGAGGGGCCGAGCGUUAUCCGGAUUUAUUGGGUUUAAAGGGAGCGUAGGUGGAUUGUUAAGCCAGUUGUGAAAGUUUGCGGCUCAACCGUAAAAGUGCAGUUGCAACUGGGAGGCUUGAGUGCAGUAGAGGUGGGCGGAAUUCGUGGUGUAGCGGUGAAAUGCUUAGAUAUCACGAAGAACUCCGAUUGCGAAGGCAGCUCACUGGACUGCAACUGACACUGAGGCUCGAAAGUGUGGGUAUCAAACAGGAUUAGAUACCCUUGUAGUC
rnacentral:rRNA from 1 species